GCCAUCUCCACCGUUUGUGGAAGAUCAGCGAUUCAGCGCCGUUGUUUCGUUCGUGACGCUGCUGCUGUUGUCACGCAAUUUCCGCCGAGGCAGCAGGAGAUGCCGCUGAAAUCUGUCCUCUGCUCAAGAACCGGCUCAAGCCUCACUCUCUCCCUUUUUCUAUUGAAUUAUGCUCCACUGGCGAUCUAUUGAGUAAGAAGGGAGAAGGAUUUGGUGGGGAGCAAAAGAUAAUGGAGUUGGUGGUGCACUAGUGUGGUGGGGGAAAAGUAAAGUAGUGGUGGGGAGGUAGGUAUAAUGGGAUUUGGUGGAGUGGAUGCGUGUAUAGUGUAGGAAAUAUUAGGGAGUGAAAAAAAAAAUAAUGAUUUGUAAAGUAUUGAAGUUACAAGUAUUUGUAAAACUAAUAUUGGGUUCUACUAAAUAACGACGCUUCGUUAUAUCAA